rfam:Ovis aries breed Texel chromosome 9, whole genome shotgun sequence.
UCCCUGGUGGUCCAAUGGUUGAGAAUCUGCCUUCCAAUGCAGGAGACUCUGGUUCGAUUCCUGGUCAGGGAA